GGGGUACUGAUUCUUUGCUGCUGUUAAAUUAUCCAAAACGCCAUGGCAGCUAACUUACCUGCCUUAACCCUUUAAGCUAGAGAGCACUUGCAACUAGUGCUAUAAGCAGUAGCACCAUGCCGUAAAUAAGCUUCUAUCUUUGCUUCUUCUAUACUUGCGGUUGCUCUGGUAUAUUUAGACAAGAGAAAGAAUUGAGACGGCUAGAGUCUUGAUUCUCCUUCCCAGAGAGGAGUGACAGGAAUCAAGAAGAGGAAGAUCUGCGAACGUGUUCAAGAUUUAUAGCCAUGGCUUCAAAACUUCUGUUGAUUACGGUCUUCAUCUUCGACCUCAUUGCCUUCGCUUUGGCUGUUGCAGCUGAGCAGAG
rnacentral:misc_RNA from 1 species